rnacentral:lncRNA from 1 species
GACAUCAAACCUCACAAGAUUUUGUUAGACCACAACUUCACCCCUACGAUCUCUGACUUUGGUCUAGCUAAGCUGUGUUCCAAGGAGCAAAGUGCUGUUUCCAUGACAGCAGCCAGAGGAACCAUGGGUUACAUAGCACCUAAGGUAAUCUCUAGGAACUUUGGAAAUGUUUCAUAUAAAUCAGAUAUUUAUAGUUUUGGAAUGCAACGACUUGAAAUGGUUGGAGGGAGAAAAAACAUUGAUGUUACAGUGGAGAAAACAAGUCAGGUCUACUUCCCAGAAUGGGUGUAUAAUCAUUUGGACAAAGAAGAAGAGUUAGGAAUGAGAAUUGAAGAUGAAAGGCAAUCCUUGAUAGCAAGAAAACUUUCAAUUGUUGGACUAUGGUGCAUUCAAUGGUUUCCAGUAAAUCGUCCUUCAAUGAAAGCUGUUAUUCAAAUGUUGGAAGGUGAGGCAGACAGUCUCACUAUGCCGCCAAAGGCCAAAUCCUUUUGCUUCCACAGAUAAUAUGAAGCUGGGUGCUUCCAAGUAUAAAAAACCUGUUGAUAUAGAGCUAGAAAUUAUUGCUGAGUAGACAUAGUGCAGCCUUAAGUCUAGAAAAGAACUUUAUGUGGCUAAUAAAGUAAACCAGACAGAUGCAUAUGUAUUCUAUCAUUACAAUUAUGAGUUCAUUUACUUAAAUAAAUUUGCUGUUUUUGUACUAAACAUUGCCCAUGGCACAUAAACACUCUCUUACGUCUUUCUUCUUGUAUUAACUUAAUUUGAUUUUAACUCAAAUAAAAAUUAUAAUUACAUAAAUAGUAUUAUAUUUUAUUUGUGAACAACUAUAUAGGCAUGUUUUUUUAACGUAAUUUAUAAAUUUUUAUUAACUGAUUAGGUAUAUAAGUUGCUGCGUCGAGUACUGAAUUAGUGGAAUUCCAAUUAACCCGCAAUUGAACUAUUUAGACUCAUACUCAGCACUAUUCAUAAAGCCAGGUCCAACAUUUAAUACCCAUACAUCUAUUUGGUCGAUGCUUUUGUCCCUUGUAUCCAAAUAAUUUCCUUAAGCAUGCCUUAAUUACUUGGAUGGUGAUCAUUUUAGAAAAACUUCUAGCUAGUUUACACAAAUUAUCUAGUUGGGGCCUUCCAAUAGCUAGUAGCUCUCCUUUGCUAUGUACUCAAGCAAUGGAAGAUAGAAACCACCUCUUUUUCAUACUCUAAACAAGUCUUGUCCAAGGUCUUAUAAUGCUUACAGAUAAAUAAGUUAGUGGGAGACUUAUCUUAGAAAGCAAAGAGGUCCUUUAAAAGGCAAAUGUGUAGGUUGGGCAUCAGAAGCCAAGAUAAAAGCCCAAAAAUCAUAAAUGGGUAUAUUCAUAAUUUUAAUGUUUUCCUUGUUUAGUUAUGAGUCUUACAUAAGAAUUAUAGAUAUAAUAUAUUUUCCUUUUAUUUUAUUUUAUUUGGACAACAAGUAAGCUUAGGUUUAGGAAUUUACUUUUCUUAUUCUCCAAGGAAGUCUUGGGUAGAAUACUUCUUUAUUUUAAUUUACUUUACUUGCACUCCAAGUUUAGGUUAAGUAAGAUUAGACUAUUAUAAAUAGCACCCUUAGGCUUAGCUUUUAGAAAACUUAAGCUUAUCUUUUAUGAAUUAUUGAAUGAUAUUGUAUUUUCUCUCAAAUUUUGAGUCUAAGUUUCUAUGUUAGAAACUUGUUUAUCAAUCUUAAAGACUUUGUCGAGUGCAAGUCUUUAUUUCACGCUAACUCGCUGCGUCAAGAUGUCUCAGAGUAACUAAUCCCAGAAUAGCCUGAAGAGCACACCUAUAUUUCAUCUAGCCUAAAAGAAAUUGCAAACGGCAUGGGAAGCAUCCUAGUGAAGCUAUUGGGGUAUUAGAAUAUUAGUCGGUACUUUUAAAUGCAAACCGAACAAAAAUCUCAGCCUACUUUAGAUAGGAAUAAAUCUCUAUGUUAAAUUGGGGAAUUUAUAGUUAACACAUACUUGAUGCACUUCAUUGGGGAAUAGUAAGACAUCAGCAUAAACACACAAGACAAGGAACUAUAUGUUGUUUUAGUAGGGAAUGGAAGUAGCACUAAUUUAUUAGAAUUGAAUUAAUCAAUAAUUGAAGAAUCAUUUAGAAUAUUUGUUUACAAUGUGAACACAGUUUUAUAAAUAUUAAAUAAGAUAGAAAAAUUUUGAUGAUAUACAAGGCAUAUUGACCAACUAUGUGCCUGUAAUAAUUAAAAAUAUAUAACGUUAUUAGUUGUUCCAGAGGGGAUAACUUAGAGAUUAAAACUUAACAUUUGAUAUUGAGAGUCUUUGAUUCUAAUCUUAAAUCAAGUGGAAUGAGAUAUAGCAUACAUGAUAGGGCUCCGUUGGAUAACUCAAAAUAGCUAAAAUUGGAAACAAUUCACCAUUCAAUUUAAAUUGGUUUUUUACUUACACUUUUUUUUUCUCUUUUUCCUCUUAUCUGCCCAAUUCAUAUAGCACAUAAUUGUUUAAUGGAAAAAAAAAGAAAAAGAAAAGAGAAAAGAACAUGUCAUAAUUCGUGAUCUCUUUCAUUGUUAUCAUAAUUUACAUAAUAAUACUUAUUUUACCUAAUGAAAAUUAUUUUUAUUUAUCUGUAUCAAUAUGAAGUGUGAAGGUUAUUAGUACACCCUACACAUGUAAGCCAGAUGAAUGAUGAAAUCGUUUUGCGCAUGAACCUUAAUGAAAAAGAAAAGUGCAAGCUAAAGAAGGAUUAAAGAGGGUGACACAUUGUGUGAAGAAAUUAACUAAAAGAAGAUAAGAUUUUCGGAAUUCAGUUUUGAUACCACAUGCUAAAGAGGAAGCUGUUAGAAAAAUUGGGAAAUAAAUGAAAAUAAAAUAAAGCAAGUAAAAACAAUAAGAAGUCUGAGGCAUGGUAUCAUUGUCGUUAAAGAUAACUUUCACUUUUUCAGAGUACAAAACUUGGUGUAAAAAGACUGUAGCGGUUAUCCUCCAAUAUUUAAUUGACUCUUCCUUAUAGUUUAUACAAACUAGUAAUGGAUAGUAGGAAUAGCAGAAAGAUUUUUUUUUUUUUGGAGAAAAAGAAAAACCCAACAGGAAAGGAAAGAAAGCAGAGAAAAUAUGCAAAAAACAAAUAAAAAGUAUACAAAGAAUAGGAGAUGAGAAGCUUGGUGUAUAUUGUGACUAAGGUAAGGAAGUUGUAUUUAUAAGAAAAGAAUGAAGUGAACGUUGUACCAAAUCAGGAAAAUGAGGUGAUCGUUGCACCAAAUUAGAGGGUUGAGAAAAAAUCUUAUUAGAGUUCGAGUAUGAUCUAGUGUAUACUCGCGCAUAGGGGGGAAAUAUGAAUUUUCUCAAAGUUUAGCCUGAUCUAGUGUGCAUGCGAGCCCACUCCUUUUUUCUGUUUUGCAACAAGCCCAUAAUGGGGUGCUUAUUCAAAGUAUUCACACCUUUAUGUACCUUAGCAAUUUGGGAUGUUUGAACCUUAUGAAAUACACUAUUUUUCCAACAAUGUCCCACAUAUUUCAUAAGGUUUCAUAAGAAGUUUUGCUUGGUCAAAUUUCAUUUAAGUGUAAUGCGUUGUGAUUGGUGCUUUUUAAGCUAUGAACCACCCUUAGAGAGAAUGAAAUAUAAAUCACAGAAUUUUGAUGACGUUUAUAACUUAUGUGAACCAAAAUUCUUUAUGUGAAAUAUAGAUUUCAUCAAUCACAUUGCACCCCUACAAUUUCUACUGUUCAAUGCAAUUUUGUGCAAAUAGGCCAUGCACAUGCUUGGUAAUUCAUAAGUGCUAUAGAGAAUUUACCCCAAUUCUCAUAAGAGUGGGGUUAGGGUAAUUCAUAAGUGCUUUAGAGAAUUUGCCCCAAUUCUCAUAGGAGCGAGAGCGGCCCCACUCCACACUUAUAUAGGUGAUUUCAUGAAGUAUAUAAUGUAGUUUAAUACACUACCCAUAGAGGAUAUGGAAUUCAUUAAGAGUUUAACUCAACCUCUUUUGUAUUGCAGUUUUACACUAUUCACACAUUAUAGGAGGGACAAUAAUUUUAAUAAUGCAUGAAUUUAUCAAUAAAUAACUUGUUAUUACCCAUAUGAACCUAAUUCAUGGGAUCUCUAAUCAUAUAGAUUAGGUUACCAUUAUUUGUUGAUUUCCUCCAUUGGCUUAAGUCCCAUUCCCUCGAUGUAGUAUUAAUUAAUUUUCUUCCAAGAGUUUUAGUUAAAGGAUCAACUAAAUUCAGUUUUGAUUUCACAUAAUUAAUAGAUAUAAUUCCAUCUCUAAACAACUACUUUAUUACAUCAUGUUUUAAACGAAUUUGUCUAUUUUUACCAUUGAAAGUUUUCUUUUUUGUAAUGGCUAUUGCCAUUGACAAUCACAAUGUACAGACACAAAAGGUGUAAGUUUCAUUCUUAACAAAAUAUUUGCUAAGAGAUUUCUCAACCACUUAGCCUUAUUGCUAACUAACUCUAAAGCUACAAAUUCUGACUCCAUUGUAGAUUUUGCAUUAUUGUUUGUUUGGUUGAUUUCUAAGUUACAGUACUCUUACCAAAGGUGAAUACAUAACCACUUGUGGAUUUUGUCUAAUUUGAAUAUGAGAUCGAGUUAGUAUCAUUGUGUCUUUCUAAUGCAGUGGGAAAUUUAUUAUAUAAAAUACCAUAGUUUAAAGUACCUUUCAAAUAUUUCAUCAUUUUGCUUAAGGCAAUCCAAUGAUCUUUAUUAGGACUUUUUGUAUAUCUACUUAGUCUAAAAACUGCAUAAGCUAUAUCAAGUCGAGUAUAAUUCAUCAAAUGCAUUAGACUUCCAAUAAUUUGUGCAUACUUAGACUGAGCUACACUAUCAUCUCUAUUUUUCUUUAAUUGGAUAUUAUUGUCAUAAAGAGUACUCACAAGUGUGACAUCAAAAUAUCCAAACAUUUUAAGUAGCCUUUCAACAUAAUACUCUCGUGUUAGUGUUAAACCACUAUCACAUCUCAUGAUUUUAAAAUCCAAAAUAACAUUAGCUUCUAAAUAUUUCAUAUCAAAUUUAGAAAUUAAGAAACAUCUUGUUUUAUUUACCACAUCAAUGCAUGUACCAAAAAUAAGCAUAUCAUCAACAUAUAAGCUAAUAGUCACACAUUUACUAUCAACAGUUUUUGUGUAUAUACAUUUAUCAACUCCAACAAUAGAAAAUCUAUUACUAACAAGAACUUGAUCAAAUUUCUCAUGCCAUUGUUUUACUGCUUGUUUCAAGCCAUAUAAGGACUUAGUCAAUUUACAAACUUUGUUUUCUUGACCAGGAAGAACACAUCCCUCGAGUUGUGCCAUAUAAAUUUUUUUUUCUAAAUCAUAAUUUAAAAAAACUGUUUUAACAUCCAUUUGAUGAACAACAAGUUUCUAAAUUGAAGCUAAUGCAAACAAAACACGAAUAGAUGAAAUUCUUGUUGUUGGAGCAAAAGUAUCAAAAUAGUCAAUAUUUUGCUUUUGAAUAAAACCUUUUGUAACUAAUCUAGUGUUGUAUUUAUCAAUAGAACUAUCAAGAUUAAAUUUUCCUUUAAAAAUUCAAUUUGCAACCAAUUGGUUUGGCUUUAGGUGGUAAAUCCACUAAUUCUCAUAUUUAAUUUUGUAAAAUCAAAUCAAUUUCAUUUUGUAUAGUUUCUUUCCAAAAUGGACUUUCUUUAAAAAAAAUUGCAUCAGCAUAAGUUAAAGGAUCAUUAUCUACAAGAUAAGUAUAAAAAUCAUUACCAAAAGAAAUUUCUUUACAUGGUCUUAUAUUCCUUCUCAAAUCAUCAUUUUGUAUUUCAAAAUUAUUUUUACUAAAAAGUGCAUGAGAAAUUGUAUCAGCUCUUAAUGGAAAAAUAUGUUAAAAAAAUUUAACAUUUUUUAUUUCAACAAAUGUAUUAUAAUGAAGAACAUCACUUUUUAAUACAAGAAAUCUAUAUGCAGCACUAUGUUCAGCAUAACUAAUAAACAUGCAAUCAAAUGUCUUAAAGCUAAUUUUUCUCUUUUUAAAGUCAGGAAGCAUUAGCUUAGCAAGACACCCUCAAACUUUCAAAUAUUUUAAGUUAGGAGAAUAGCCUCUCCAUAAUUCAUAAGGUGUCCUACCAAUUUUCCAUAAUUGAUUUUCUACCUCUACUUUAUACUUAAUAAACAUGUGAAAAACUUCAUCUUUAUACCUAAGUAAAUAAACUUUAGUUAAUAAAUCUAACAUAGUAUUACUUACCACCUCUAGUCAUAGUUUGUUUUAGAUCUCCUAAGUCAGUAUGAAUUAAACUUAGUUUUUCAAAUUCUCUAUUUACUAAAAUACAAGUUUUCUUAGUUGAUUUCGUUUCAGCACAUAUUUCACACUUAUUAAAGCAUCUAUUUUUAAUACAAUAAAUUAAACCUAGUGAUUGCAUUUUCUUAAUAUAGGGAAUGCAAACAUGUCCUAGUCUACCAUGCCAUAAAUCAAUAGAGUCAAUCAUGUAAAUAGAAGAACUAACUUUUUCAUUUAGAACAUUUGAAAUGUUAAGUACAAAGAGUCCAUGAUUGCAAUAUGUCUUACCCAUAAAUACAUUAUUUUUUCUCAUUACGAACUUGUCAGAUUUGAAUGACACUUUCACCUCAACCUUUCCCAAUAAAGCCACAAAAACCAAGUUGGCCCCUAUAUUGGGAACAUGAAGAGCAUCAUUCAGAGCUAGGGUCUUGCUAGAUGUGAGCGUGAGAAGGAUUUUCCCUUUACUAAGAACUUGAGUAGUUCAAGAAUCACUAAGGUAUAUUAUCUCUUCUUUGUCCCUUAUUGGAGUAUAGAAGGUAAAGGCAUUUCUGUUUGCACAAAUAUGCUUGGUAGCACCUGAGUCUACUACUUAUUCUUUCACACUAACCACCACAUUUGAUUGUGAAAUGACCACAUCAAUUACAUCAUUGGAUUCAUCUGCUUUGACCAAGUUGACUCUUGAAUUAAUAGGUUUGUCAUUUCCCUUUGCUCUCUUCCUGCAUUACGAUGCAUGAUGCCUUGGCUUUCCAUAAACAAAAUAACUACUUUCCUUUUUAAAGGCGGGAUGGGGAGUUUUGGGUUUAUAAUCAAGUUUAUGAAGGUACCUCCGUUGACGUUAGGUUCUGCCUUGUACCAAAUUGGCUUUAGUUAUAACUUCCUUAGCUUUUAAGGCCUUAAUCUCCCUCCGGGUUGUGUCUCCAAUGAUGAUGUGCACAAUCAAGUCUACAAGUGACAAUUGCUUUUCCUUGUGCUUUAGUUGUUGCUUGUAGCCAUUCCAAGAUUCUGGCAACUUUUAAAUUAACAACUUAGCAACAAACUCUUCUUGUAAGUUGAUUUUUUUAGCCUUCAAAUCAUCCACUAGCUUGUGGUAUUCAUUGAUUUAACUCUUGAUGUCCUUGUCAUCCAUCAUAUUUCAGCGAUAGAAGUUGCCAAUAACGAAUUUCUAUUUCUCAACAUAUUCAGCAGUGUAUUUAGCAAUCAUUGACUCCCAUAUUUGCUUUACUUCUUUGUACGAAUUGUAUAAAUCAAACAGCUCAUUAGAAAAUGUGCUAAUGAUCAUAUGCCUGCAUACCUUAUUUGCGUGUAUAUAUGGUUUUAGCAUUUUGACAUCAUCUGGCUUGGAACCAAUUAGCAUAAAAGCCACACCAUGAACAUCAAGGAUUGAAAAAAUCUUUUCUUGCUAUCUUGUGAAGUUUCUGCCCUUAAAAACCUCAAAUUUAGAAAUAUUUAGAAAUGGUUUGGCAUAUGAGACCGAAGGCAUAGAAGGAAUAGUCAAUGGAAUGGAAGCCAUGGUGGAACCAUUGACAGUGGUGGUGGUAGUAGGGAUAGAGGCAACAGUAGGAAUAGUGGCAACAAUAUUAUCAAUGUGAAAAUUCAUUAUCCUUAAGAUUGUUAGAAAGUCUGAGAAACAAAUGAAAAUAAAAUAAAGCAAAGAAAAACAGUAAGAAGUCUGAGAUGUGGUAUCAUUGUCCUUAAGGAUAAUUUUUACCCCUUCAGAGUGUAAAACUUGGUGCAAAAGGACUAUAACAGUUAUCCUCUAAGAUUUAGCAGACCCUUCCUUAUAGUUUGCACAAACUAGUAAGGGGUAGCAAGAACAGUAGAAAUAUUUUUUUUUUAGAGAAAAAAAAAAACCUAGUAGGGAAAGAAAGAAAGUAGAGAAAAUGUGUAGAAAAUAUAGAAAGAGUAUGCAGAGAAGAGGAGAUUAAAGGCUUGGUGUAUAUUGUGACUAUGGUAGGGAGACUGUAUUUAUAGGUAGAGAAUGAAGUGAAUGUUCCACCAAAUUAGGAGAAUGAGGUAAAUGUUGCACCAAAUUAGGGAGUUGAGGAAAAACCUGGUCAACAUGUAUACUCAGUCAGGUAGAUGUUGUAGCAAAUAAGGAGAAUUAGGAAAACUCAGUCAAUAUGGUAGAGUUUGAGUUUGAUUACUGGGAAAGCUUAAAAAAAUUAAAGCCAAUGUAAAAAAAAUUCACUUGGGCCUAGCCCACGUAUAUACUUGUGCACAGGGAAGGGAAACUAUGAAUUUUCUCAAGGCAUAACUCGAUCUCGUGUGUGCGUGAGCCCACUCUUUUCUUCCUUUUUUGCAACAAGCUCAUAAUGGGUUUACUUAUUUAAAGCACUCACACCUUUAUAUAACUUAGUAAUAUGAGAUAUUUGAACCUUAUUAAAUACACUAUUUUUCCAACAGAAGUUGGGUGAAAAGUUAUCCUAAAAGCUUAAGUUGAAAGGGAAAGAGUUCAACUUUUAUAUUUAAGCUCUAAAAAGGAUAAUGGAAAAAACAAAGAAAUUCUUACGUAUACCAAAACAGAAAAGAGAAGCACCGUUCCAACAUAACUAGUUGAAAAAUCAAAUUAUCAAUUUAAACCCAUAAUUGAUAAAACACAUCUAAGAUUACCAUAAACACGAAAAUACUCAAAACAAGAAAAGGAGAAAAAGAGUAGUUACGGGCUGAGGCAGGCAUGCCCAUAAUGUAUAACACAAUCAGCAUCAAUAUGGGAAGCUCCAACCUCUUCAACUCAACUUCUCAACGCUGUUUGCCUUUACUAAUAACCCAACUCUAUUACCUGACCCAAGUUUGUUUCUUGAUGAAGUAACCACUUUCGUAGCAUGUUUCAACAAGUGAUCUGGGAACUGUAAAACCAAAACUCACUUUUUCAUUCAACAACUAAAACAAAGAAAAGCAACUCUGGCGAAAUUCCUGCUUAGAAUGAACUCUGCUGUGCGGCUAAUUUCGAAGUUCGAUUCCAAGUCUGGGGCUACUGGGUGAUUGGCUCUCCCUCUGGCAUAGAAGGCCGAGCCCAUGUAAUUUUAUUUAUGACUAUUUUAUUUCUCAUGGGUUAGCUAUACAUGCAAAAGAAAUUUUCAUUAUAAGUUAAUCUAAUACUGAGGUAUUUAUAAUUAAUCUUAAAAAGUAAUUAAAAUACGAUAAUUAAUUUUUUAAAAUAUUUAAAUAAAAUAAGCUAAUUAUAAUUUUUAAUUACUUAAGAAAGCAAUAGAAUUAAAGAGAUCCAUUUCCUUUUUAUUAAUUUGUCAGCUUCCUAGUACUAAUCAAAUUUUUAUUGUGAUUAAAAAAUUAUGUUUUCGACUUAAAAAAAAAGCUAAGUAUUUUCUAAAUGCUAUCAUAUUAAGUCAAUAUAUUUUAAAAUCAAUUUAUUUUAAAUUUCAAAAAUUCUUCGUCCAAACACAUCUUAAAGGAAAAUAUUGUUGCUAAAAGUUAUGUUCUAUUUUUUUCUUUCUCCAAAUCCUUUUUGUUUUUUGAAGAAAAAGAGAUUUAAGCUCAACUCAUUAGAUAAGAGAGUUACUUAAAACAAGAUCGAAAUGAGCUUGGUUUUCAUCCAGAAUUACAAUAUUUUAUUGGAACUAAAUAAAAUAUAGGGUCAGAUUGAAACUAGGAAAAGAAUUACCGAACAAAGUCAUUAAUAUCGGGUCACAAGCAAAAUAAUAAAGUUAAAUGAAUAAAAAUGGAGCUUGGAUAGAAAUCUUAAUUCAAAUCUUUGUACUCUCUUUUAUCAUAUAUAUAUAUAUAUAUAUAUAUAUAUAUAUAUAUAUAUAUAUUAUUAUUUAAAGAUUAUAUGUCUGAAUAUUUAAUUUAAUAGUAAGUAAAAUACAUCCACUUAUUGGAAAAAUUGAGUACAAAUCUUCCUUUACCUAAUAAAACAAAGUAGCAAAUUUAUUCUUGACGAAAAACUCACGUCUUAAUUAAUUUCAAUAAAAUAAAAAGAAAUAAAUUAAAUUAAUUAUCACAAUCAUGCAUGUAUACAUGAAUAAAUCUUGAGAAUUAAAUUGAUAUACUAGUGAUAUUGGAGCAUUCAGCUCUCCUCUAUCAUUUUAAUAUUCAUUACUUUUCAAUAUAUUUUUAAUCAUCAUUUAUAUCUAUGAGUUCACAAUUCAAAAAUUAAAUCUUACUUAUAUGAACAGUAAUUAAAAGUAUAAUAAUAAAAAGUCACAAUUAGAAAAAUAAAUAAAACGAAACCAAAAUCCUACAUCAGGGACAAGGGAGUAAAACAUUAUAAUUAAUGGUUUCCAUAUUUCACAUCUCAAUAUUUACAUUUGAGGCACUUCCAUGCUCAUGGUGGUAGCAUCAAGGGUCGACGUCGUAGGCUCGUCUUCCCUAUUGCAACUCGCAAAAUCCUUGGAUGACCUUCCAAAAGAAAAUUCAAAAGGUUGCGGAGGUAGUUCAAGUACUUCAACCUCACCUUCAAGCAUCUCUAAGACCUUACUUAUCGAAGGACGAUCAGUAGGCCUCAUUUGUAUGCACCAAAAAGCAACUAUGACCAUCUUCCUUACAAUUUUCUUUUCACUCUCAGUGGCAUCUCCUAACUCUGCAUCUUCCCCUUUCUCAAAUCGGUCGUAAAUCCAUGUUGGGAAAUAUAUUUGACUAGAUUGUUCAGCAAAUGCAUUCAAAUUUUUCCUCCUUCCCACCAUUUCCAUUAACAACAUUCCAAAACUAUAAACGUCAGCCUUGUGUGAGAUACUCCCAAUGUUCUUGUAAAACAAUUCUGGAGCAAUAUAUCCUAAAGUACCUCGUGCUGCAGUGAGAGACACAAUACUUUGAUCUACUGCAUACAAUUUUGCUAGGCCAAAAUCUGAAAUUUUCGGAAUGAAGUUCUUAUCUAGAAGAAUGUUAUGUGGUUUGAUGUCAAAAUGUAAAAUUUGCAUUUCACAACCUUGAUGCAAGUAUUCUAUUCCUCGGACCACUCCAAUUGCAAUCUCAAAUAUUUUUUCCCAACAUAAAGUGGUAUCCUUUUCUCUUGAAAAUAUGAUUUUAUCUAAAGAACCAUUUGGCAUAAAAUCAUAAACAAGUGCUUGUUUUGAUCCAUCUACACAAAAACCGAUAAGUUGUACCACAUUAACAUGAUGAAUCCUUCCAAUGGUAGCAACUUCAUUGAUGAAAUCUUGUCCAUGUGAUUUUGACAUUUCUAACAAUUUUACUGCAAUAGGACGCCCGCUUCGAAGUGUUCCUUUGAAAACUGAACCAUAACCACCUUGUCCUAAUUUAUCUUUAAAACAUUUUGUCAUUUUCUUUAUUUCUGAAUAAGAAUACUUGAUAGGCUUUAAAUUAUUUUGCAUUUGAAGAAACUCUUCAAUUGUAUCAUCUGUAGACAAAUGUCUCCUUCGAAACUUAAUUAGCACAACUACAAUCAAGCAUGAAACCCCCAAUAGAGUUCUAAUAAUAAUGUAUACUCCUGUACAAGAGAAUUAUUAAUAGGAAGACAUCAGCAUAAAUACAUAAGAUAAUGAACUAUAUAUUGUUUUAACAGAGAACGGAAGUAGUACUGCUUUAUUAGAAUUGAAUUUUUUAUAUAUAGCUAAAUAGGUUAGAAGAAGCUUUGAUGAUGUACAAGGCAUAAUGACUAACUAUCUAUUUUCACUAAUUAAAAAUAUAUAACGUUAUUAAUUAGUUGUCUCUGAGGGGAUAACUCAGAGAUUAAAACUUAACACUUCAUCUUGGGAGUCUUGAUUCCAAUUUUAAAUAAAGUGGAAUGAGAUUUACCAAAUGUGAUAACUCAAAAUAGCUAAAUAUUGGAAACUUCACCAUUCAAUUUAAAUUGAUUUUUUACUUCAUUCAAACUUUUUAAUAUGACACAUAAUUGUGUAAUGGAAAGAUUUAAAAAAAAAAAGAAAAAAGAAAAUGUCAUGAUUCAUGAUAUGAGCUCUUUGAUUAUUAUCAUAUUUUUUUAGAAUAAUACUUAUUUUACCUAAUGAAAAUUAUUUUUAUUUAUCUCUAUAUAUCCAUCAGAGGUGUGAGGGCUAUUAGUAUCUCGUAACUUCGGUUGUCAUGCACAAAAUCAUUAAAGCUUAAUUAAUUCAUGAGUAAAAGAGAUUCUCUCACCUGUGAUUAGAAAUAAAGCAUCUUCGAUUCCUGUUAAAAAGGGGUAAAGAUUAGCUUAAACAAAGGAAUAAGAAAUAAGCAAAAGCCACGAACAAAUUAUAGAUGAAGUGAAAAACAUACUAGUAUAAAAUUCUUGAGUGAAAUGUACCGGUGGAACGCCUAAGGUAAAAAACAUUCGCAAUUUGUAAAGACAGUCUAAACUGAUACCCUUCGCCCACAAAAAUCUGUGUCAAGAAUAAUAAAUUAUGUAAGAAAUACUUCGAAAACAACUACUUCAAAGAUUUUAAAUAUUUUUAAAAAAAAUUCUCAUUUUAGGAUCUAAUAUUUACCAAAUAUUUCAGUUUAAGAUCAAACUUUUUAUCUACUUUUUUAAAUUAAUCUAUUUUAUUCAUUUUAAAAAAUGAUAAAUAGUUAAUAAUUACUAUUAAUGAAAUUAAUUGUUUUUCUUGUGAGAAUAACCUUUAACAAAUAUAGCAAUAUAAAUUUGUAUAAUCAGUUCUUUAUAGAGCCCCAUAUAGUUUGCAAAGUUCAAUUUGAAAAUUUUUUGAUUACCUUGUAGUAUUUUGGUUUUUCAAAAAUCGAAUUAAUCAAUAAAAUGUUGCUUUUUUUUUUAAAUCAAACUGACUCAAAUCAAAUUUCAUGGAUUUGAUUUGAACUGUUAAGUUCUCUAAUUCUUUUAACAAAUGUUCUAUAUUAUUAAGUAAAUUUAAAAUAAAAUAAUAUUUCAUUAAUGAAAACUAAAAUGUUAUAUAAAAUAUAUUAUAAAAAACCAUUCUUUUUGAGUUGGGUAAUUUCAAUUUUUCGACCAAUAGAUAAAAAUCCAACCAAAUGGAAUACAUAUUUUUAGUAACCAAAUAGAUAAAAAUCCAACCAAAUGGAAUACAUAUUUUUAGUAAUGAAAUAAAAAACUGAAUGGAACGCAAUUUUCCAUUAUCUCAAAAUUUUCGCUUAGUUCUAAUUCUAUAGGAUGCUAAUAAAAAACUCUUUCACUAUUUUUUUUAAAUGGAUAAAAUUAAAAAAUUGCAUUUUAGUUUAAAAAAAUUGAAUUGUGAAAUAAAAUAUUUGAUAAAAAUUAGAUAUAAAAUAAGCAUUUAACCAUUUUUUUUCUACGUAGAGAAAAGGGAAUUUGAUCCUACUUGAUACAAAGAUGCGACUUGUAAAAGUAUCCUCUACUAGUAUUAAACAGAUAAUUUGAUGUUUUUAAUUUAAAUUAUCAAAUAAUAGUUAUUUUUUAUACUAGUAACUUAAACUAUUGUUCUUUAAAAAAAGGAGGUUUUAUGCUCGAAAUUCUUACAUAUAACUAAGUGUAAUUUUGUUGCGAUAGUCAGGAAAAUGUACACAUCUCAACGGCACGUCAUAACCCAUCAGGAACUUCUGGUGAACAUCGAAAAUAGAGAGACCGGUGACAUUAGGAGACCGAAACCAAAAUGGUCGCGGAGCCUGGACUUCAAUGGUGCAGGGUUCAAGGAAACCAGUAGCGUUGGGCGUCUUUCUGCUAAAUAAAGCAUAAAGGUGCGGAGAGAAGGAGGCGUUGGCGCAAGGAGAGGCAUCGAUGUAGAGCGGGGAGUUGAUGAGAACUUGGCAGCUUAAAAAAUAAAUAAAACUAUAUCCGCAUGGAAAGGAUUUGGGAAGAAUGGAGCAUUCAUCACUAUUCAGACUCCCAUCCACCAAUCGAAUGGUGUGAUUAUAAAAGAUGUCUAGGACAUAGAAUCUUCCAUAAUCAACAUCGUCCAAAAUGGUGCGAUUAUGUUCACAUACUAGUUCAUACUCGCCACAUUCGGGAGUGUCGCCCUUGAAUCUGAAAGGGCUGCGGAUGUUUAAAGCUCCGCAAGAGCGCUUGCAAUCGUGGGUGCCUCGUCUUGCAGCAUCAACGGCAUCAAGGAGCUGAGACAAAGCAAGGGCAAGAAGGCCCAAUAUUGCAAGCUUUGCCCUUAACAUAUUAGAAAAGAGUGAGACGAGGGUAUGAAUUUUGAUGCAAUGAAGAAGAGAACAAUGCUAGUCGCAGAGAAUGAGAAAGGCUCUAAUAUAAUGCACGCGUUUUUCCAACAUGUCGCUAAAUUGUAAAAAAUUGUGUGGUAAAGUGGAACAUGUGAACAUGACAUUUAUCUUGUAAGGGUUUUUUUUUAAAAAUAAUUAUCUAAGUGGAACGCAUGCAUUACUUUAUUUAACUUGUCAGCUUUACAGCACAUGCAUUUACCCUGUGCGACUUACUUAUUCAAAUAAUUUUUCUUUUCAAAAAGCGGAAAAAUUUUAUAAAUAUAAGAAAAAGAAAUACAUGGCUAUCAAUACCGGUAGAAGAAACUGUUGAAAAGUAAUUUUUAAUUUGGAAAUCAAGUUUUUGGAAGAACUGGCGGGAAGCAUAAGCUUUGAAGGUUGAUGAAAGAUUUUUAGAGCAAAAACGUUGUCGCUCUUGACUGAAGAUGCUGGUUACCGUUAAGCUGUGCAUUAGUUAUUGUGCAGCUUCUACCUGGAUUCGAUUUACUCUCCAUCAUCUAAAUUUUAGGUAACAUUGUUAUUGAGAAAAUAUAAAUAUGAAAUUGAAAAAUGAAUGGGUGCUUGAUGGCCAUUCAUUUUUCUCUGCUCAAGUUGUCACUUCCCCUUCUUUUCUGUUUUCCCAUUCUUUUAACUCUUCAUUAAUUUUUCGACAAAACCUUAGCUUCAUUUUUCUUCAAAUGGUAUCAAAGCUCUAAAGUGAUCUUAAGGGACUGCACUCUAAAAUUCACCAUGACUUCUGGCUUCAACUCAUUUGCUCCUCCAAGGUUCAUCAGAGAGAAUUCUUCCUUCUGUUGUGUGAAGAUGGAGUCGUAUCUCAAGGCUUUCAUUCUUUGAGAAGCUUUGGAAUCUGAUGAAGAACCUGUUCAAAGGAGAGGUAAUCCAACCCUUGCUUAGAUUAGGCAAUUUGAGGAAGACAAAUCAAAGAGGUAUAAAGCUUUGUCCUGCCUACACUCAGCUUUAUCUAAUGAAAUAUUUGCUAGGGUUAUGCAUUUGAGAACUCCUAAAUAGGUUUGGGAUAAUUUGAUGGAUGAAUUUUUUGGAAGUGAAAGAAUUAGGUAGAUUCAAGCACUUAAUCUUACUCAGAAAUUUGAAAUACUUAGAAUGGAGGACAAUGAAAAUAUUAAAGAUAUUUCUAGACAAAUGAUGGGACGGCAUUAGUGAACCAAUUAAGGUUAAUAGGAAGUGAAAUUACAAAGGAAAGAUUAGUAACCAAAAUGCUAGUUAGUUUACGUGAAAAAAUAUGAAUCUAAGGUGUCCUUAUUAGAAGAUUCUAGGGAUCUUGCUUAUCUUACUCUUAAGGAGUUAGUUAAUGCUUUAGAAGGUCUUGAACAAAGGAGAACGUUUAGGCAGGCAAGUGCAAUUGAUUUUGCCUUAGUGGCUAAGACUAAAAAUGUGAAGGUGAAUGGAAGUAGUACAAAAGGUAGUUCAGCUGAUAAGAAAAACAAAGGGAAGAAGAGUUGAGAUAAUAAGCAGGGAGAUCAAAUAAAGGAAUUUCCACCAUGCCAAUACUGUAAAAAAACCAAUCACACAAAGAAAUUUUAAAUGUAAGGCUUGUAGUCAAUAAGGGCAUGUAGAAAAAGUAUGUAAGAAUUGUUCUAAGGUGAAUGAGAAAGCUGUUGUAGUUGAACAUGUGGAUGAAGAUACUGAUGAGGUUUUGUUUAUUGCAACCAUUGGGAAAAAUUCAAGUAAAACUAAUAUUUGGCUAUUGGAUAGUGCUUGCUUACAUCAUUUGAUAGGUAACCAAUCUCUAUUGACUAUUCUUGACACAAGUUUUAAGUCAAAAGUGAAGAUUAGAGAUGAUGAUUACUUAGAUAUACUUAGAGGAGGUACUAUUAAUGUUAAAACUGCUUCAGGUAGUAAAUGUAUUAGUAGUGUGCAUUAUGUUCUUUAUGCUAAUCACAAUUUCUUGAGUGUGGGAUAACUUGCUAAAGAGCAUUAUAAUUUACUAUUCAGAGAUGAUGGUUGCACUAUGCUUGAACCUUAUGACAAUGAAAUUUUCACUGUUACUAUGAAGAACAAUUGUUAUCCACUUAACUUGGCUAAUACAGCUCCUUUGGCUUUGUAUAAUAAGUUGGAUAUGUUCCAUAUAUGGCAUAGGAGACUUGGUCAUGUAAAUUACAAUUCCUUGGCUCUUUUUUCUUCAAGGAAUCUAGUGGAAGGCUUAGUUAGAAUCUCAAAACCAGAUAAGCUUUGUCAAGCUUGUUAAUUUGGAAAGCAAUCAAGGAAACCUUUUCCUCAAGAAAGCAGAUGGAAGGAUACUAGAAAACUUGAAUUGGUGCAUACAAACAUAAGUGGACCAAUGAAAACCCUUUCACUCAGUGGUAGUAAGUUUUACAUAAUUUUUACUGAUAAUUUCACAAAGUAUUGCUGGAUUUACUUUUUAAAGUAGAAGUCUGAGGCAUUGAGCUACUUCAAGAAGUUUAAGAUAGCAGUUGAGAAUUUCUCAAGCUAGAAAAUUAAGACUUUGAGAACUGACAAUGGAAAGGAAUAUACAUCUACUGAAUUUGAGCAUUAUCUAGAAUCUCUGAGAGUUCAACAUCAACUAACCAUUCCAUAUAGUCUCUAGAAGAAUGGUAAAGUUGAGAGAAUGAAUAGAACUCUUCCUGAAAUGGGAAGAUGUCUGUUGUUUCAAAUGAAUGUUCCAAAGGCAUUUUGGGCAGAAACUAUGAAUACAACUAACUACAUUUUGAACAGAGUUCAUACUAGAGUUUUGAAAAACAAAACCCCAUAUGAAAUGUGGUUUGAUCAUAAACCAAGUGUUUUUCACUUAAAGACUUUUGAAUGUGUAUGUUAUGCUAAGGUUCUAGAUGCUAAAAGAACCAAGUUUAAUCCCAAAGUCUGUAAUAACAAUGCUAGUGGGAUACAGUGAAGUAUCAAAGGGCUACAAACUAUAUGAUACUGAAUUGAAGAAAACAUUUGUGAGUAGGGAUGUGGUGUUUGAUGAGGGUCAGAGUUGGAAUUGGCCAAAUGCAAAUGUAGAAAAGGUUAACUUUGUUACUUUGCUGAUGAUAUGUUUCUGUAAAAUGAUUCAGAUGAUCAAUUUGACUUAGAGGAUGAAAGAAAAGCUGCAAAAGGCACCAAGAGUUUAGAUGACAUUUAUAGCAGGUGUGAUGUAGCCUUAGCUGAACUAGCAAGCUUUAAAGAAGCACAUUCAGAAGAACACUAGAAGUUAGCCAUAGAUGCUAAAAUGCAGAUGACUAUUAAGAAUGUGACAUAGAUUUUAGUGGACAGACCUGUUGACAAGAACAUUAUUAGAGUUCAAUGAAUUUACAAAACCCAAUUGAAUCCUGAUGCUUUUGUAAAUAAAUACAAGGCUCCACUUGUGGUCAAAGGAUAUGUUCAAGUGUAUGUGGUUGACUAUAUAGAGACCUUUGCUCUAAUUGCUAGACAUGACACAAAUAAGAAUGCUCACUGCUUUGUCAUCAAGGGAGGGAUGGAGGAUUUAUCAUUUUGAUGUCAAAUAAGCUUUUCUUAAUGGCAUUUUUAUUUAAGAUAUUUACAUUAAGCAGCUUGACGGUUAUGUGCAACAAAGGUUUGAGAAGAAGGUGUGCAAACUUAUUAAGGCAUUUUAUGGCUUAAAGCAAGCCCCAAGAGCCUGGUACACUAGAAUUGAUGAUCGUUUCAAGAAUCAAAGGUUCCAGAGGAGCAUAAAUGAGUCAAACAUUGUAUGUGAAGAGUGAAAAUGGUAUUGUGUUGCUCAUUGUAGCACUUUAUGUAAAUGAUCUCUUAAUUACUGGGCUUAAAGGUAAAUACUUGACUGAAUUUAAAGUUUAGACGAAGAAAGUGUUUGAAAUGACAUAUUUGGGUGAGAUGACUUACUUUUUGGGUAUGGAGGUUAUGCAAGCUGUUAGUAAGGUUGUAUUGCAUCAGGGAAAAUAUGCAAACGAUUUACUUAGUAGGUCUAAUAUGAGUAUAUGAAAGGUUGUAAGCUCUCUAUUGUGCACUGGUGCAAAGUUUAGCAGAAAAGAUGGUACUGCUAAAGCAAAUGGGCAAUUAUAUAGAAGCAUAAUUGGUUUUUUGCUAUACUUAACAACUACAAGGCCUGAUAUAAUGUUUUCAACAUGCUUGCUGUCAAGAUUCAUGUAAGAUCCUUCAGAGACUCACUUUACAACAGUUAAGAGGAUCUUGAGGUAUGUGAAAAGAACUUUGGAUUAUGGAUUAAUAUACAUGAAACAGAAGAGCAAUCAAUUAGAAGGUUUCUUAAACAAUGAUAGGGUUGGAUCAUUGGAUCAUUUUAAAAGCACAUAUUUCAUUUGGCAGUGCAGUGUUUGCCUGGAACUUAAAGAAACAGCAAGUGGUAGCUCAGUCAAUAGUUGAAGCAGAGUACAUUGCUUGUGUAGUUGUUGCUUACUAUGCUUUAAGGUUGAGAAAGGUAUUGGUUGAGUUGGGAUUUAAGCAAGAAUAGGGAACCUUAAUUAAUGUUGAAAACUUGUUAGCAAUUGCAUUUGCAAAGAACCCUGUUCAACAUGGAAGAGUAAAGCAUAUCAGAUUCAAGUACCAUGCUCUGAGAGAUGCAGUAAAGGAAGUGAGUUUGAAUUACUUCAUUGGUCAACUAAUGAUUAGCUUGCUAAUAUUUUCACUCAGAGCUUGGGAAAGGAGAGAUUUGAGUAUUUGAGAUCAUGUCUUGGAGUUCACUAGAUUGAGAAUUAUAGGGUUGUGUUGAAAAGUAUUUCUUAAUAUGGAAAUCAAGCUUCUGGAAGAACUGGCAGGAAGCAUCAGCUUUGAAGAUUGAAGAAAGACUCCUAGAGCAAAAAUGUUGUCGUUCUUGACUGAAGAUGUUGGUUGCCUAACACGCUAGUUCAUUGUGUUGUUUUCUUUUUUACAGUUUGAUGUAUUCAAAACGAUCUUGGUCAUGUCGAUUUAUUUUGUUUCAUGUUUGUUGGUCCUGUAUGCAUCACUGUGGUCAGGGCCAGCCCUUGGGUGAAGCCACCCAAGCAAGGGCCUUAGGCCCCCAAUUUGGGGAGGUCCCAAUUUUAAAGAAGAUUUAUAAUUUUAUAAUAAUUAUAAUAUAAAUAAUUAUAUUAAAAAAUAUAAAAAUAAAAAAUAAUUCAUCAAAAUUAUUUAUUCUUUUACUUUUUUUAAUUAUGUACCUAAUAAAUCUCAAAUUUCUAUUACUUCUUUAUUUCUAAAAUACUAUUAAUUCUCAACUAUAUUCUCUUAUUUCUAAUAAACUAACAGUUACAUGUAUUUAAUCAUUUUCAACAGCUAUUUUUUUUCUCACUUAUUUCUCUUAUUUUCAAUAAGCACAUUUAAUGAUUUCCAACAACUAUUUUUUUUCCUAUAUAUAAAACUAAUUAUUUUUUUCAAUGUAUAAUAUCUACUUUUGAAAUCUUCCUUUCCCAUUUGCUCUUUCUUCCUUUAACUUCAAUUUUUCUCCAAAGAAUUUUGUUCUUUUAUUAUCUUCAUAAAGUUGUGAGCCUCAUUUGCGAUUUGCAAUAAACAUUCAACAAUUAGGUACUAUUGUUCUAAUCUUUAUAGAUUUUUUUACUUUAAUUUAAAUUUAUAUUAUAUUGUUAUAUUAUUUUUAUUUUAUGUGAUAGUUGAUUUAUUUGAAUUAAAAAUUUUGAUUGUUGAUUUUAUAUUAGCCAUUUAAAAAAUAUAAGAUAAUUAUAAUAGUUAAAUAUUUUUAGAAUAAUGUUAACAAUUCCAGUAAGUGUUGCUUUAAGAAAAAGAAGUUUUUCAGAACUAAAAUUAAUAAAAUCUUAUUUAAGAUCAACAAUAUCUUAAGAAAUAUUAAAUGGAUUGACUAUAUUAUCAAUUGAAAAAGAAAUAUUAGAAGAACUUGAUUAUAAAAGUUUAAUUAAAAAUUUUACAUCUCAAAAAGUUAGAAGAAUAAAAUUUUAAUAAUUUUGUUAAAUUUCAAUAAAAAAAAGCCUCAUUUGAAUAUUUCAUUUUAGACUUUUGAACUUAUUAAGUCGUCCUUGACAGUGGUGCUAUUUUAGUCUGUUUUCUUAUUUCUGGUGUAAGGCUCAACGACCAUGUCUUUUCUUAUUUCUGGUGUCACUUCUCCUUUUUCUCUGUUUUCCCAUUCUUUUAGCUCUCCAUUAAUUUUUCCAAAACAUCUUAACUUCAUUUUUCUUCAGAAACAAACAACCCCCAAGGAUCAUGUUAAUCCAAAAUAAAAACCAUCAAAGGUUGCGAGCAAGAGAAACAAAGACCUCAAGACAACCCCUUACAGAACACCCAAAACACAAAAGAACUCUACAACAAAAAUCAAGACAACCCAAAACUCGAAUUACAAACAAGCAGAUCAGCAAAGAAGAGUUCAGGAAACAGGAAAAAAGCAGCAGAAAGAAAAAGAGGCAGAGAACUCCAACGCUAUCAAAACCACACAGCAGCAGAAAAAAUCAAGCAGCAUGUUAAAUUACUUAUUCAAGUAAUUUAAUAAGUGAUACAUGUUUGUUACUACAUAUAAAAACAUUGACAUGUUGGGUGCAUAUACAUAUAACUUUUACUUGUUACUUUUAUAUACACGUGAUGCUGACGUGAUAUUAACAUAUUAAAUAAAAAUGUCAUAUGAUUAAAUUAUAAUAUCAUUAUAUUAUGUUAUUAUCUAAUAUGAUAUAUUAUUGUGUUACGUUAGUAGUGUAUAAAUUUUGAUGCAAUCAAUAAGAGAGGAAUGCUAGGUGCAUAGAAUGAGAAAUGCUCUAAUUAAUCAACGUGUUAAUAGCAUGUUGCUAAAUUGUAAAAGAUCGUGAGAUAAAGUGAAUCACGUGAACAUGACAGCUAACUUGCUAGGGUUUUUAUAAAAAAGUUAUCCAAGUGAAACAUGUGCAUUACUUUAUUUAACUUGUCAGGUUUACAGCGCAGCGCAUUCACAUUGUCCAGCUUACUUUGUUAAAUUAAUUUAAUAAUGAAACAUGUUUUUUAAUACAUAUAAAAACAUUGCCAUGUUGGGUGAAUAUUCUCACGAGAAUACAUGCACUUGCUAAAAGACAAUGCACACUUAUAUGAAAGUCAAUGCACUCCCACGGUUCACCAACAUUGACUCACUGUCUCUGUUUCAUUAUUGAUACCAGCGCAUAUUCACAUUGUUGCCACUUACUUUAUGACUAUGUCAAAACAAAUAUUUUUAUCUUUAACACAUAAAGAUUUGAUUUUAAUAUUUCAUACUAUAAAUUAUUUAACAUUCCAUUUACAUAUGGUUUGAUUCCACUUUUAAAUUUAUUCAAUAAUUAUAUGUCUAAUUAGAAAACACAAGUAAUUAAAAUAAAUAUAUUGAAAAUCUAACAUAACUCAAACGUUUGUUAUAUUUUGAGUCACGUAAAAUAAAAUAUAAAUAUUUUAACUAACAUAUAGUUUUCAUGUGAACAUAUAUUUUUGUUCUCACUAACGUUAGUUUGAUAAGUUUGCUUAAUAAAAUUAUAAAAUCAUUUUGAUAUAAUAUUUGAAAAAGUCUCUAAACUAUUUUAAAAAAAUUGAAAUAAACUCUUAUUUUUUUAUUAUAUUUAAUUAAGUUUUUAUAUUUUUAUUUUAAAUUAAAUAGACUUUGAUUACUAACGAUUGAUUAAUUAUUAUGAACCAAACUACCACUUGUUAUUUUUAUGUCCACAUGAUGUGGAUAUAGAGAGUGAAAAUGUCACAUCUACUUGCCACAUCAUCAUUCCUUAUUACAUGUUAGUAUGUCAUGUUAAUGUUACAUAGUAUAGAAGAAUAAGAGACAAUUUAACUAAUAAUAAUUACUCAAUUAUUAAUUAUAAAAGUUUGAUUAAACAUAAUUAAAGAAUAAAAAUUUAUUUAAAUUUUUAAAAAUUAUUUUUUUGUUAUCGUAAAUUGUUUCAAGUAUGACCAAAUAAAUUACUUUUGAAUUACAGAUAUUUUAAUAAUUUUAUUAAAAAAAUUAAUAAUGUAACUCUUAGGAAGAAUAGAAAGACCAAAGUUGGGAAAAGCAAAAGGAGAAAAGUUACAUAGGACCCCGUCCCCAAGCCUCCCAAGGUCUCCAAAGCGGUGAAUGCCUGGGGAGCAGUUUAGGGUGUAACUUGUAAGUAUGCUCUCUACCAGUCUCUGCAAGCACUGUAACGCCACCAUCAGUUUCCUUUUAAAAAGAAUUGAAGAUUUAGGAAUAAGAAUUGAAGAUGAAAGGCAAUCCAUGAUAGCAAGAAAACUUUCAAUUGUUGGACUAUGGUGCAUUCAAUGGUUUCCAGUAGAUCGUCCUUCAAUGAAAGUUGUGAUUCAAAUGUUGGAAGGUGAGGCAGACAGUCUCACUCUGCCGCCGAAUCCUUUUGCUUCCACAGAUUAUAUGAAGCUGGGUGGUUCCAAGUAUAAAAACCCUGUUGGUACAGAGCUAGCAAUUAUUGCCGAGUAGACAUAAUUCAGCUUGCAGCACUAAGUCUAGAAAAGAGUUAACUAUAUCUGGCUAAUGAAGCAAACUAGACGGACGCACAUGCAUUCUAUAAUCACAAUUGUGAGUUCAUUCACUUAAAUAAAUUUGCUGUGUUUGUACUAAACAUUGCUAAGGGCAAAUAAACACUUUCUAUGUCUUUCUUCUUUAAAACUUCCUCGUUCAAACAUUUUCUUCACUAUCUGACUUGAUUAUUAUCAACUUAAGUAAAUAAUUAUAAACUUAAUUUGACCUCAAAUGAAAAUUGUAAAUACAUAAAUAGUUUUAUAUUUUAUUUGUAGACAAUUAUAUAUGUACAUUAUAUUUAACUUAAUCUUUAAAAUUUUUUAGAAUUGAUUAAGUUUUUUAGUUGCUGAGUCAAGUACUGAAGUAGCCGAAUUUGGCUUAACUCAUUAAUCAAACUGCUUAGACUCAAACUCAGCACUAUUGAAUGAGAUGCAAAUAUUCAUAAAGCCAAGUCUAAUAUUUAAUACACAUACAUCUAUUUGGUCUAUGUUUUCGUCCCUUGUAUCCAUAUAAUUUCCACAAACAUGCCUUCAUUGCUUGAAUGGCCAGUUUAGAUAACUUCUGCUUUGCACAGAUUAUCUAGUUGGGGCCUUCCCAUAACCAGUAGCUCUCCAUGGCUCAGUUUAUAUUGCUUGUAUCCAUAUACUUCAAUCUAUGAGAUCAAUUAUUUAUUUUUCAAGGAGGCUUAACAUGUACUAAUAUUUGAGCAUUAUCAAUACCCUAUCUUGACAAUACAAUGACAAAAAAUAAUUUUAGGAACAUGGUUUUAAUGUAUAAUGAUCUCAUAAUUAUAAUAAAUGUAUAAUUCUCUUAGAAGACCUUUAUGUUCCAUGAAAUUCAUCCAAUUAGUAUUUAAAAACUUUUUGUUGUUGUACUAACAUGAAGGAAAACCUCUACCGUAUAUAAUUAUAUGAUUAAGUAUGCAUUAAAUGACAAUAUAUAUAUUUCUUGACCAAUCCAAUUAGUUCAAAAAUAUAUACAAACACCUAACUCUCAUCGGUCGACCACCUGCAGCCAGAUCUAGUUAGAUCACGGUCCCCUAAUGAGCAUGAGUCUCGCGCUCCCCUCCGCAGCGCUCCCCCAGAUCUAGCCACGAGGUGGCUGAUCGAUUUAAGGGAGUGCCACCGACCGACCUAAGAAAAAAGAAAAUAGUGAAAAAGAGUGAAGAAAGAAUAAGGGUAGUUUAGACAUUUUAUGUUUUUUUGUUAACACCGUUUAUAUAUUUGGGACGGAUUAUUUAUUUCGAAUAUUAAUAGACCUGCAUAGAAUUAUAGUUAAAACUUAAAGAGAUCAUGGGAUUUUAUCCUAUUUUUUUCAAUUCGUAUUCAAUAGAUAAUUAACUUCUAGUCUCAUAAGAUUUAGAUUAUUAAUUUUGUUUAAUAAAAUUAUUAAAAUAUCUUAGAUUCAAAAAUAAUAUAUUUGUUCAAAAUAUUUUUUUCAAUUAGUAUUCAGUUGAUAAUACCUUCUAAUGUGUGGAACAUUUGUUGAUAGCACAAAAAUAACACAACUUUUGUUACACUGUAAAAAUUUCCGUGAAGUUUUGGAAAUACAAUGUUAUAUAGCCAUGGAGAGUCCAUGGCGAUCAAGCACCAAGAGAAGAAUAAAAUGGAAAUGCCAAUUUUGGUUGAGCAAGUGACUUUUUUUUAGAAAAAAAUUAUAAAAGUUUAUUUCAUUUAAAAUAAAAAUACAAAAAUGUGAUUGAACUUAAUAGAAAAAUAAAAUUUUAUUUUAAUUUAUUUUAAUAAUUUUUUUAAAAAAUUAAGUAUUAUAUCUAUUUUUUAAUAUAAUAUAUAAUUAUUAGAUAAAUUCAGAAACAAACUUCAUCCUUUAGAUUAUCAAUAAAUUCAUAAAUGAAUAUUGAAAUCAAAUCGUCAUGUCAAUUAAGAUAAAAAUGUUGAGACAUUAGUAAUUUUUUAUAAUAUAAAAAAAUUAAUUUUUCACUUAUUAAUAAAGUAAGUCGCACAAUGAGUCAAUGAGUCAAGCAUUUGAGUGCUUGACUGUUAUUGCCGGUUGUUUUGGUGCAAUUCAUAUCUGGACUUUACCUUUUUAAAAGAGAAAAAGAAAUAAAGGUUUUUCUUUGCAAACCUUUUAAAAGAGAAAAAGGAAAAAGGGGUGAUGGUCAUAGUUUCAGCCUUUGAGAGCUUGUUGGGCUGCUGAGAAUUUUUUAAAGAACAACUUCGAUCGUAUGGAGAGAGAUAGAGGAUCCACUUUUGGAGACCUUGGGGACUUGGGGAGGGGUCCUCAUUGAUUCUUUUCGUUUUGCUUUUCCUAAGCUUGGUGCCUUUCUAUUUUGAUAAGAGUUAGACUAUUAAUUUUGGGAUUAUAUUUGAUGCACAGUGUAUAGUUUCUAUAUCAUAAUUGUCAUCUCAUUAAUGAAGUAAAUUUAAUAAUUGAUAUAUAAAAUUUUACUAUUUAAUGAAUAAAAAAUAAAAUCUUUUUAUUUUUUUCUCAAUUUUUUUUAUUUUCUUUCAAAUGUGCCAAAGGGAUACGUAAUACAUUUUAGUGACCUGAUAGUGUAUAAUUUCUUAAUUUUGCAUAAUAAAAAUAUUAAAAUAUUAUCAAUUCAAAAGUAGUUAAGUUAUCUAUAUUUAAAAUGUUUAGCAUUAUACUUAAAAAGUCCUUAAACUAUUGAGAAAAAUUCAAAUAAAUCCUUAUUUCUUUAUUGUAGUCAAUUAAAUCUUUAUUUUUUUUAACCAAAUAAACCCUUAUAACUAAUAAUUGAUUAAUUAUUAUUAGUAAAAAUGCCACUAGUUAUAUUAUACAAUGUGGCGUUGAUAUGGAAUGUUGAUAUGUCAUAACGGAUUAUGACGUGACAUAAUUAUGUGACAUUUUCACUCUCCACGUCAUACUAAUCACACAUGUAUUAUUUUUGUAUUAUAUUUGGUACAUAUAUUAGAAAGUGUUAUUAAAAUUAUAAAAAAUACAGGUGAAGUUUUUUUUUUAUUUGCAUAGAUGAUUUGUUAAAGCAGUCAUUUAUUCAAUAAAGGUACAUUGAUUUAUUAUUAAAUUAAAGACAUAAUGUUCAAAAAAGCCCUUAAAUUAUUUAAGAAAAUUUAAAUAAGUUAUUCUUUUAUUACGUUCAACCAAACCUCUAUACUUUUAUUUUGAGUAAAAUAAACUCUUAUAACUAAUGAUUGACUAAUUAUUAUUAAUCAAAAUGACACUUGUCAUUUAACGCUCAACAUGGCACUAACGUGAUGCUGAUGUAAAGGAUGAAAAAUGCCUCAUGACCAUGUCAUUAUGUCACAUUAAUAUGUUUCGUUAUUAUCAAUUAUGACAUGUCAUUAUACUAUAUCAGUAUCAUAUGUUAUAGAAGGACAAGUAGUAUUUUGACUUAUAGUGCAAAAUUGGGAGUUAGAUUGAGUGCAACAGAAAAAAUAAGAUUUAUUUAGUUCAAAAUAAAAAUAUAAGAAUUUGUUUAAUUAGUUCAAAAUAAAGGUAUAAAGAUUUGAUUGAACGUAAUAAAAAUAUAAUUUAUUUAAAUUUUUUUAAUAAUUUAGGAGUUUUUUAAGUUUUAUAUCUAAAUUAAAUGUUGGUAUAUGAUUAGAAAAAAACCAUAAGAGUUUAUUUAAUUUAAAAUAAAAAUAUAAAAAUUUGAUUGAACAUAAUAGAAAAAUAAAAAUUUAUUUAAAAUUUUUUAAUAUUAUACUUAUUUUUUAAUAUAAUAUGUAAUUCUUAGAUAAAUUUAAAAACAAACUUCAUCCUUAGACUAUCAAUAAAUUCAUAAAUGAAAUAUUGAAACCAAACCCUCACAUCAAUUGAGAUAAAAAUGUUGAGACAUUAUUUAUAAUUAUUAAAGAACAUUAAUUUUUCACAUAUUAAUAAAGUAAGUCGCACAAUUGGAAGGUGACUAGUGAGCUGUUUUGGUGCAAUUCUUAUCUUGACUUUAUCUUUUUAAAAGAGAAGAAGAAAAACAGGUUUCUCUUUGUAAACGCAAGUACCCAACAACUUCUCUAUGACUUUUUUUUGUUUUGCUUUUCCUGAGCUUGGUGCCUUUCUAUUUUGGUAAGAGUUAGACUAUUAAUUUUGGGAUUAUAUUUGAUGCACAAUGUAUAGUUUUUAUAUAAAAAUGUGUUAUUUCAUUAAUAAAGUAAAAUUAAUCAUUUUUAAAAUUUAACAAUAAAUAUAUAAAAUCUUGCUAUUUAAUGAAUUAAAAACAAAAUCUUUUUUUCUCAAAAAAAUCUUUUUUAUUUCUUUCAAAUGUGCUAAUGGGACACGUAAUACAUUUUAGUGACUUGAUAGUGUAUAAUUUCUUAAUUUUACAUAAUAAAAUUAUUAAAAUAUUAUUAAUUCAAAAGUAGUUAAGUUAUCUAUAUUUAAAAUGUUUGUCAUAAUACCUAAAAAAAUAUUUGAACUAUUGAGAAACAUUCAAAUAAAUUCUUUUAUUGUAUUUAAUUAAAUUUAUAUAUUUUUAUUUUGAAUCAAAUAAAUUUUUAUAACUAAUAGUUAACUAACUAUUAUUAAUCAAAAUGUCACUACGUAACGUUGUAAAAUGUUAAAAAGAAAAGAGGAUGUGGGCCACUGAAAGCUCGAAUGCUGAAAAAUGCUUGUUAGACUGAUUUUUGUUAGCAUUCCUCAUUUCGAUUCAUUUCCUUUCCCACCUCAGAAGAGGAUCAUUAUCUACUACUAGCACUAGCAUUGUAAGUUAUUCUUUACUUUUUGUUUUAAUUAUUUGUAUUCUUUGACCUGCAUCAAUGCAUUAUAAAUAAAUUCAUAAAUGAAACAUUGAAAUCAAACCGUCACAUCAAUUGAGAUAAAAAUAUUGAGACAUUAGUAUUUUUAAAAUUUUUUAUAUGUAUUAAAAUUUUUUUUCACAUAUUAAUUACUUUAAUAAAGUGGCACAGUGAGUCAACCACUAGACAUUGCCGGCUGUUUUGGGUGCAAUUCAUCUUUACUUUAUCUAUCUCGGAUAAUUUUUUAUCAGAGCAAAAGAAAUACAAAAUGCAAGUACCCCACACCACACAAAAGCACAGAGAAGCAAAAAUAAAGUACUCAAUGAGAUAAAAAGAAAAAAUUGUGAGAAAUAACCUAUUUCAUAAGCCUAAUUAAAAAAUAUCACUUUUUAUAAUUUUAACUAUUUUUAGUCUAUUUUUGACAUGACUUGACAAUAAUGCCUUUUAAACAAUUUUAAAAAAUUAAAAUGGUUUUAGUUUUCUCUAUCCCACCAUCUAGAAAAAAAUUUCAAAAUAAAAUCUCAAUUUUUUUCUCUGAUCAAAUACUAUCUAUCUUGCUAUCAAAAGCACAAAGAUGACAUCAAGCUCUUUCUUAUUUUGUUUUAUUUUUUUGGAUAGUGGAUCUUGGGGUUCUCAAGGGCGAUGAAUAGCGAAUUUUGCUCUUUGCAUGCAGCGAUUUUACUCAGGGAGAAGGAACAGCUAAAGCAUGUUUGAUGGGUUUUAUGGUGGUUCACGGUUUUAUUAUGUUUGGGAUUGAGAUGAUUGUUAAGAAUGUUUGCUGGGGAUUUUGAUUUUUUUUUAUGAGAUUUUGAGUUGAAAUUAUUUAGGGAAUAUUUUGUAAAUAGAAUAUAUUUUGUUUUUGUAUAAGGGACUGAGCAAGGCCCUCCCGAUAGGAAUAUAUUUUGUCUUGCUUUGAAGGGUUAUAGAGUUUUGUAAUCUAUCUUUUAUGAAAUGCACAAUUUCAUGGCUUAGCAAAAAAAGAAGUAUGUGUUUUAGGUUCUUGAGUUUAUUAGUUUAUUCAUAGAACCCUAAAGUUAAGGAGUUGAAAUUGAUUAGACUGAUUUUUAAGUAUUACGAGAUUAAUUUUUAGGUAUUGCGUGACUUAAUCACUGUAUGAUUAGUUUUUAGGCAUUACGUGAUUGGUUUUAGGCAUUGCGUGACUGGUUUUUAGAUAUUGCGUGACUGAUUUUUAAACAAUGCUUAAGUCACACAAUGCCUUACUAACAAGUCACGCAAUACCUUACUAAUAAGUCACGCAAUGCUUAUCAACUAGUCAUGCAAUGUCAUAUCAACUAGUCACACAAUAUUUAAAAACUAGUCACGCAAUGCCGAAAGUCAAUCAUGCAAUAUCCAAAGUCAGUCAUGCAAUGCCUAAAAACUAGUCACGCAAUACCCAAAAAUCACAAAAACUAUUGAAUUCCAUUUAACAAGAUCAACAACUUUAGACGAUACACUAUAUUCCAUUUAACAACAUAAUUAACGAAUAUACCUACUUGACAAAGAAUGUUCAAAAUGUUCAAAAGUUUUUUUUCAUAUAUCAAAAAUCACUCAAAAAUACUUAAAAAUACUCAAAACGCUCAAAUAUUUUCUUCGUGUAUCAAAAAUUACUCCAAAAUGCUUAAAAUACUUAAACGUUUGCUUUUUGAUAAAGAAUACUCCAAAGAUGAAUAGUCUGACGAGGAAAGCUCAAAGAAUAUGAGUUGGUUUGAGGCACAGACCUAAACAUACUUGACCCGUUAAUAAGUUUUGGGUUAAGGCACAGAACCAAAUAAAUGGGUCAGUCUCAUUAAGGGCAAUUUUGUCUAAAUUUUAAUUCUCUUGACUAAAAAUAUUUAAAGUUAUAAAGAGGUCUUUUUUCAAAAACGCCUUAUGCAUGAGGUCUUUCAGCUUCAGUCUUCGAGUAUCACCGGUCUCUCUAUUUUCGAUAUUCACCAUAUGUUUCUCAUGGGUUAUGACGUGCCGGAUUAUUGCGCACCUCGUAGUAGCCUAGGCACGGUCACGGUCAAUGUCACAUCGCCCCUCUACAAAAUUAUACUUGGAAAGAUGUAAGAUUAAUUUGGAGCAUCAACACUCUUCCCCUCCCCCCUUCUUCCCCCUUUGUUUUGAGGUCAUUCGUUUGAGUUAAUAGUACAAAAACAAUAUAUACUAGUAUUUGAUCAUUUAAAUUAAAAACAUCAAAUUAUCUAUUUAAUGGUAGUAUACCUUAAUUUUAUAAAUAGCAUCAAAUUCUCUUUUCCCUACAUAGAAAUAAAUGGUUAAAUGCUCAUUUUAUAUCUAAUAUUUACCAAAUCUUUUAUUUCACAAUUCAACUUAUUUUUUUAAAUUCAAAAUCCAAUUUUUUAAAGCAAUUUUAUCCAUUUAAAAAAAUACUGAAAAGAGUUUGUGAUUACCGCCCCAUAUAUAGACUUAGAAUUAAGCAAAAAUUUGGAAAUAAUGGAAAAUUGAUUCCAACCUUAGAGUUGGUUUCCGUUUUCUAUUACAUCCAAUUUGGUUGCUAAAAAUAUGUAUUCCAUUUGGUUUGAUUUCUAUCUAUUGAUUGAAAAAAAUUGAAAUUAUCCAAAUAAAAAAGAACAGUGUUUUUUAUUAUAUUUUAUAUUACUUUUUAGUUUUCAUAAAAUAAAAAUAUUUAUUUUAUUUUUAAAUUUACUUAAUAAUAUAUAUAUAUAACAUUUAAAAAAAAAUCAAAGAACUGAACGGUUGAAUCCAAAUCGAUGAAAUUUGAUUUGAGUCAAUUUGAUCUUAAAAAUACAUUUUAUUUGGUUAGAUUCAGUUUUUUAGAAAUCAAAAUAGUACAAGUUAAUCAACAAAUUUUCAAAUUGAACUUUGCCAAACUAUAUGCGGCUCUAUAUAGAACUAACUAUACAAAUCUAUAUUUCUAUAUUUGUUUAAGGUUAUUCUCAUAAGAAAAACAAUUAAUUUCAUUUAUAGUGUUUAUCAUUUUUUUUAUGGAUAAAAUAGAUUACUUUAAAAAAGUAAAUAAAAAAAUUUGAUAUUAAACUGAAAUAUUUGGUAAAUAUUAGAUCCUUAAAAUGAGAAUAUUUUUUUUUCUAAAAUAUUUGUAAUGUUUGAAGUGAAUAUUUUCAAUGUAUUUCUCACCUAAUUUUUCAUCCCUGACACAGAUUAAGCUGGUUGAGGUUUAUCCUUUCGGAGUAUCUUCACACUUUGCGAAUGUUUUUUACCCACGGCUCUCUAUCACGAGAUCGCUAUGAUUAUUAUUAUUAUUACUAUGGAAGUAUGUUUUUUCAUUUCAUCUCUAAUUUGCUUAUGGCUUUUGCUUAUUCCUUAUUCCUUGCUUUAAACUAAUCUUUACCCCUUUUUAUCAGGAAUCCCAUUUGCUUUAUUCAUAAUCACAGGUGAGAACGCUUUUACCCGUGACUUAAUUAAGCUUUAAUGAUUAUGUGCACGACGACCCAAGUUGCAAAAUACUAAUAUCCCUCACACCUCUCAUGGAUAUGUAGAGGUAAAUAAAAAUAAUUUUCAUUAGGUAAAAUAAGUAUAUAUUAUUUAAAAAAAUUAUGAUAAUAAUCAAAGAGAUCAUGAAUCAUGACAUGUUCUUUCUCUUUUCUUUUCUUUGUUUUUUUUUCUUUCCAUUGCACAAUUAUGUGUCAUAAUAAAAAGUUUGAGUUAAUUAAACAACCAAUUUAAAUUGAAUGGUGAAGUUUCCAAUAUUUAGCUACUUUGAGUUAUCACAUCUGGUAAAUCUCAUUCCACUUGUUUUAAAAUUGGAAUCAAGACUCCCAAUAUGAGGUGUUAAGUUUGAAUCUUUAAGUUAUCCCAUCGGAGACAACUAAUUAACUAAUAACGUUAUAUAUUUCUAAUUAGUAAAAACAGAUAGUCAAUAUGUCUUGUACAUCAUCAAAGCUUUUUCCAUCCUAUUUAGCUAUGUAAAAAUAUUGUGUUCUCAUUGUUGGAAAAUAAAUAUUCUACUAUUUGUGAUAAUCAAGAAGAUAAAAAUCAUACCCCAGUUAUAUUGAUUAAAUCAAUUCUAAUAAAGCAGUGCUACUUCCGUUCCUUGUCUUGUGUAUUUAUGCUGAUGUCUUCUUAUUAAUAAUUCUCUUGUAUAGGAGUACUUAUUACUAUUAGAACUCUAUUGGGGGUUUCAUGCUUGAUUGCAGCUGUGCUAAUUAAGUUUCGAAGGAGACAUUUAUCUAUGGAUGAUACAAUUGAAGAAUUUCUUCAAAUGCAAAAUAAUUUAAUGCCCAUCAGGUAUUCUUAUUCCGAAGUAAAGAAAAUGACAAAAUGUUUUAAGGAUAAAUUAGGACAAGGUGGUUAUGGUUCAGUUUUCAAAGGAACGCUUCGAAGCGGGCGUCUUGUUGCAAUAAAAUUGUUAAACAUGUCGAAAUCACAUGGGCAAGAUUUCAUCAAUGAAGUUGCUACCAUAGGAAGGAUUCAUCAUGUUAAUGUGGUACAACUUAUUGGUUUUUGUGUAGAAGGAUCAAAACAAGCACUUGUUUAUGAUUUUAUGCCAAAUGGUUCUUUGGAUAAGAUCAUAUUUUCAGGGGAAAGAGAUACCACUUUAUGUUGGGAAAAAAAUUUGAGAUUGCAAUUGGUGUGGCCCGAGGAAUAGAAUACUUGCAUCAAGGAUGUCAAAUGCAGAUUUUACAUUUUGACAUCAAACCACAUAACAUUCUUCUAGAUGAGAACUUCACUCCAAAAAUUUCAGAUUUUGGCCUAGCAAAAUUGUAUGCAGUAGAUCACAGUAUUGUGUCUCUCACUGCAGCACGAGGUACUCUCGGAUAUAUUGCUCCGGAAUUGUUUUACAAGAACAUUGGGAGUAUCUCACAUAAGGUUGAUGUUUAUAGUUUUGGAAUGUUGCUAAUGGAAAUGGUGGGAAAGAGAAGGAAUUUGAAUGCAUUUGCUGAGCAAUCUAGUCAAAUAUAUUUCCCUUCAUGGAUUUAUGAUCGAUUUGACAAGGAGGAGGAUAUAGAGUUAGGAGAUGUCACUGAGAAUGAAAAGAAAACUGUAAGAAAGAUGGUCAUAACUGCUUUUUGGUGCAUUCAGAUAAAGCCUACUGAUCGUCCUUCAAUCAGUAAGGUCUUGGAGAUGCUUGAAGGUGAGGUUGAGCUACUUGAGUUACCUACAAAACCUUUUUCUAUUAUCUCUUGACAGCUCAUCCAAAGACUUUGCAAGUAACAAUUUGGAAAAGGAGCCUACCACGUCAACCCUUGAUGCUACCGUCAAGGGCAUGGAAGUGCCUCAAAUAUAAAUACUGGGAUUUAAAAUAUGGAAACCUUUAGCUUUAAUAAGUUCUACUCCCUUACCCCCUGAUGUUGAUGUAUGGUUUGAUUUCUCCUUACUUUCUAAUGUAGGGUUUUGGUUUCCUUUUAUUUAUUUUUCUUGUUCGUUACUUUUUUAUAUAUUUUAAAUUAUUAUUCAAAUAAGUAAUGAAUUAUGGACUCAUAGAUAUGAAUGAUGAUUAAAAAUAAUCAAAAAAUCAAUGAACAUAAAAAUGAUGAAGGAGAGCUUAACUCUCUAAUAUCUCUCAUAUAUCAAUUUAAUUCUGAAGAUCUAUAUAUUCAUAUAUACAUGCAUGAUUAUGAUUGUGAUAAUUAAUUUAAUUUAUUUUUUUUAUUUAAAUUAAUUAGGAUGUGAAUUUUGUCGUAAAGCAUAAACUUGGUAAUUUGUUUUGUUAGGGAAUGAGAUUUGAACUCAACUUUUUCAAUAAGAAGAUAGAUUAAACUUACCAUUAAAUUUUCAAUGAAUAGAGAUAAAAUCGCACUCCUCGUUUAAAAGAAGAACUGUUUAAUUACAAACACUCUGGCGCUAGGAAUGUUAUUGAGAGAUGUUUUGGAUUCCUUAAGAUGAGACGGGCAAUACUUAAAGGGAAGUCUUGGUACCUAGCGAAAACAAAAUGUAGAAUUAUCUCUGCUUGUGCAUUGUUACACAAUCACAUUAGGAGAGAAAUGACACAUUAUCCACUUAAGGAUGAAAUGGAUGAAGAGUAUGUGGAAUCAAAAGCGAUGGAAAAUGCAGAUAUGAUUCAAUACAUUGAGACAUCAAAUGCAUGGACUACUUGGAGAAAUAACUUGGCACAAGAACUGUGGAAUGAUUGGAUAGCUUCUAGAAAUGAAACUUAAUUUUUUAUUUGGUACAACAAAUGUUGUAUGCUUUAUUUGUAAUAACUCAAUUUUGUGUUGAUUGAGACAUAUUUGUAUUUGUUCUUAAUUAGAUAAGUUAUGUUUCUUCUUGAAUUUUUAAUUAACUAUUGUAUACUAUAUAUUUGUUAUUAUGGCAUUUCUAUAUUAUGUUUUAUACUUAUAGAUGGAAGUUGCAUCGUCUCAAGGAUUAGGAAGGACAAGCAAAAAAUCCACCCAUUAAUGGACACCUACUAAAGAUGGAGUCUUAAUUGACUACUGCAUUGAUCUUGUGAAUGAAGGAAGUUGGGCUAGAGAUAAUGGGACAUUCAAGCCUGGUUACUUGCAACAACUUGAGAAAUGGAUGAAAGAAAGGAUCCCAAAUUGCAACAUAACGACUAUCCCCCAUAUUAACUCUAGAAUGAGGUUGUUGAAGACACAAUAUAGGGAAAUUGUUGAGAUGAUAUCACAUUUCGCUUCUGUAUUCGGUUGGGAUGAUGUUAAGAAAUGUGUUACUUGUGAUGAUGAUGUUUGGAUUGGCUAGGUUAAGGUAAUGAUUCUAAUUUAUUUUACAACAUUAUUAUAUUCUAAAGUUAGGCAUAUAUUUGGUUUUGCAUGAUUUUUUGAUUCCUUAUAUUUGGUUAUAUAUAUAUAGUCACCCAGCUGCUGCAGGACUUAGAAACAAGCCUUGUCCUCACUUUGAUCAAUUAGCCAUUAUAUUUGGGAAGGAUAGAACAACUAGGGAAGGAGCAAAGUCAUCAGCUGAUGUAGUAGAGAACAUAGAAACUGAGGAAGUUGCAUUUGCAGGAACAAAGGUAGCUUUAGAAGCUUUCAGUGCAUUGAAUGUUGAUGAAGAUGACAAUGGUGAUGAUGAUGUUUCCCUUGCUCAAGCUACCAAUAGUGAGGGAUCCACUGCUGCUAAAAAAAGGACUAUGAAGCAAGGUGACAGAGAGGUGAGUCGCAAAAAAACUAAGACAAAAAGUAAUGGUCACAACAUUGUUCAUGCAUUCCAAUCUAGUGUGGAUAAGAUUGAAGAAAUCUGUCAAGGUGCAUGGGAAGGAAUUGAUACAGUAGCAAGUUGUUUUCAAUUCAUGGCUGAAAAUGCAAGGUUGAAAAAGCUUGUAGUUGAGAUAGUUCAGGGAGUUGAAGGUUUGACUCCCAAAGAAAUUAUUAAGGCUGGACAUAUCAUCUCUAGUGAUAUGUGGAAGAUAAAUUAUCUAUUUUCAUUGUCAGAGGAGUUGCAAAAAAUUUAUGUGAAGGCUUUGCUUAGUGGCUCAAUCUAAAGCAAUGAUGGGUAUUGUUAUUGCAAAGAACUAGUUAUCAAUUUAGGGUGAACUUUAACAGUGUUAUUAAAUUUGAACAAUUUUGUAUUUUAAAAAUGGUGUGUCUAUCCUUUAGGUGACUUCAACUUUGGUUUUAUUAAAACUUUAUGACUUUUGGUUUAGAGCAUCAAUCAAGGAACUUCAUUUAUGAUUUUCAAUUAUAUGGUUUUGGUGAUGUUAUGCUUGAUAUUUUGUUUUAGCUUGAUAGCAAGUUAUUUUGAAUUUAUGAUAUUUUCAGAAGAAAUUAAUUGGAGAUUAAGAAUUAUGGGUAUUUUGUUGGCAAUUUGCUAUUGGUUACAACAGAGAAAGCUAUCACAUUAAUGUAUACAUAUAAAACGUAUUAAGAAAUAAAAAUAAAAUAUUAUCUUCUAAAAAAAAUUUAAAAUAAAAUAUACAAUAUAAGAAAUUAUAUUAAAAAUAAAAAUAUAAUAUAUACUUGUAAUAAGAAAUGAAAAAUAAAAUAUAUUUAAUUAAAAAUAUAUUUUAAAAUGACAUUAUAUAAAAAUUAACAAUAAAAAAAUACAUGUUCAACUUGUAUUUUAAUAUAUAAGGGUAGUUUUGGAAAUUAACAUUACAUACAUUGUAAAGUACUUGUAAAACAAACACUGUAAUGCUAUCUUCUCUGCAUUUUAAUCAUUACAUUACUUAUAUCUCAAACAUUGCAAUGUUAUCUUCUUUGCAAUCACAUUGCUUGCAAUCACAUUACCUGUAAUCAUAUUACCUGUAAUCAUAUUACAUUGUAAAGUACCAAACGCUACAUUAAUUUACUAUAUUUACUAUUCGGAUGAUUGCGCCAUCAAUUCUCGGUUCCCAUAUUUCUAUAUCAAUUUAUCUGCAUCUCCCUUCCAUGUAUCUAUGGAACCAGUUAACUACACUUUGUUCAACUGCUCAAAAAACCCAACUGAAGAUUCUCUCCUUCUAUGAGAAAACUUGCUUGGACUUCAUCGAUGGCUUUAAUAUUAGAGCUGCUCCUUCUGAUGGCUGGGAAUAUUAUAACCUGUUAAAUUGCAGCAAGGUUGUUGACAUCUCAGUAAAACCGGCGGGACCAAUAAGUAGAGAGAAUCUUUACUUAGAAUGGUCCAAACCGAUGUGCGCCAGGUGUGAAGCCGAAGGCAAAGGUUGUAGAGUAAAGAAUAAUACAGAGGAUCAAACAGAGUGCUAUGACAUCCCCUACAAAGGUAUAUGCCUUCAACUUAAAUUUACUUGUUUCUUUUACUUAUUUUCUCUUACCGAUUAAGAAAUUGUUACUACCCAAACUAGCACCUAAAUUUUACACUAUUUGAUAUAUAAGAAAAAAUUAAAAAAAAAAUGUUACUACAUGCUACAAUUACAUAUAAUCACAUAUUCAAUGAUACCUAGGCUUAAAUACUGUAGGAUAGUCAGUAGGAUUUUAAAGUUUUGACUUGAUGAGUUUGAAAGACUUGAUAAAAAAAACAGUUAUUACUGAUCACUUAUUAUAAGAAUCUCGAUACUCUUAUGUAACAUCUUUCAUACAUGAUCUUUUUGACUUAAUCAACUAAACUUCAUAACUUAAUCUCGAUAAUUAUUUGACUAAACUUGAUAAUUUUUUACUUGAUCAACCAUUUUAUAUAUCAAAUUUAAUUGAUUAAUCUUUUUGUUUCUUUCUUUCACUUUAUUUUGAAAAUAUUCCAACACCACUUGACACUAAAACUUAAAACUGUUUAAGAUUGCUCACUCCUCUUUUCUAUGUAUCUCUCUUCCUAUUAAGUUGGUGUAGUGUAACGCUGCUUCACUUCCAUUUACGAAGAAAACACUCCUUGCUUGUAUUAUAUUUACAAUUGAAUUAAUGUUUGAAAGACAUAAAAAGCUUAUACAUUUCCAACAUUUUACAGGCCAUCCUACAAAGCUAAAGCGAAUACUUGCAGGUAUGGAAUUGUUUUUUGUAACUAAUGAUUUUCGACUUUAUUUAUAACGAGAGGUAAUCACUCCUUAUCUCAAGAUUAAAACUAAUUAAACAUGUGCUAAGUUGGAGCAUAUUAUUUGCAGGUGUAAUCCCAGCUUCAUUUGUUCUUGCACUAAUUGUUGUUGCCCUUUACAAGUUGUACUAUUUAGAAAAAACAAAGAAAGAGAAUCAACUCAAGGUUGAAGAGUUUUUGGAAGAUUAUAAAUCUCUUAAGCCCUCCAGAUACUCUUACGCUGAUAUUAAGAGAAUAACAAAUCAAUUCAAGGAGAAACUUGGAGAAGGAGGUUAUGGAACUGUGUUCAAAGGAAGACUUUCCAAUGAUGUUUUGGUAGCUGUUAAGGUCCUCAACAAUUUCAAAGGAAAUGGUGAAGAGUUCAUCAACGAAGUGGGCUCAAUGAGUCGAAUCCACCAUGUCAAUGUAGCUCGCUUGGUUGGAUUUUGCGCUGAUGGAUAUAAACGAGCUCUUGUUUACGAGUAUUUGCCCAAUGAGUCAUUGGAGAAGUUCAUAUUUUCUGCCAAGGGUGAGAGUCAUUUCCUUGGUUGGGAUAAGCUUCAAGACAUUGCUCUGGGCAUAGCCAAAGGGAUUGAAUACUUGCAUCAAGGUUGCGAGCAACGGAUCCUCCAUUUUGACAUCAAACCUCACAACAUUUUGUUAGACCAGAACUUCACCCCUAAGAUCUCUGACUUUGGUCUAGCUAAGUUGUGUUCCAAGGAGCUAAGUGCUGUUUCCAUGACAGCAGCCAGAGGAACCAUGGGCUACAUUGCACCUGAGGUAUUAUCUAGGAACUUUGGAAAUGUUUCAUAUAAAUCAGAUGUUUAUAGUUUUGGAAUGCUACUACUUGAAAUGGUUGGAGGGAGAAAAAACAUUGAUGUUACAGUGGAGAAUUUAAGUCAGGUGUACUUCCCAGAAUGGGU